rnacentral:lncRNA from 1 species
GUGGCAUUCUGAAUUUCUCAAAUCACUCUCUGAUACCUUAUCUCAAGAGAUCUUCAUAGCAACCCACUGAGGUUAUGACAACUCCAUCAGGAAAGAAAACAAUCCUAUCAUGCUGAUCAAGGCGAGGGCCAUCAUCAGGUCACACAUCUAAAGACGGAAAACAAGGCCUGCUGGACUUGGCUCCCACCAGCUUGGAAAGCCAGUUGUUAAAUUUUCAAUGUGAGCAUUUACCCCUCAGAAACUGCCAAAUACAACCAAUCAGGGCUCAAUCUAGGGUUUUGGUGGUUGUUUAGACUUAAGAACAUGAUGGAAAAAAUAUGAAUCAUGCAGGUGACACUCUAAAGUAUAUCUUGCUUUUUCAAAGAUCCAGUUGCAAACAAAGAUCCAAAUUCCCUCCCAGAGAUGGUAAACAAUUUGAUCUGGGCUAUACGUGUAUUAAGCAGGAUCAGAUUUUGAGCUGAAAGGACCAGAAGAUCCCAGAGGUCACAUCAGAGGCCGUUCAAUGUAACCCCCUCAUUUUUCAGAUGAGGCAUCUGAGGCCACAGCAGAAGAAGUGAUGCCUGCAAUGGAAAGGCUGCUUUCUCAAUCAAAGGCCAUUGAGUCCAACCAUCUCGUUUUACAGGUGAUAAAACUGGUGCCUAGAGAAUGGCCAAAAGAUUGCCCAAAGUCCCAGAGUGUGAGGGGCAGAGCCAGAAGGGUCUCAUUCUGGAGGAUCUCAUUCUGAAGGAGAGCUCCUUGAGGAGCUCCUCUGAGGGGCUCUGUCCCUCUGGGGUAGGAGCUCUGGAGGCUCUUGAGAGAGGCCCUUUGAAGCAAUCUCUGGCUGGAAGACUCUUUGAGCAAAGACGCUGGCCUGGUGUCAUUAGAAAUCCUUACUUAGACAGAUCUUAUGGGCCUCACAUUACAUCUGGCAUCUAAUAGAUGUUUCAUGACUAUUUUCUGGUUCAUCAUCUGAAAUUCCAUGAAGUCCAAGAAGAGAGGGACAAGAUCAUUUUCUUCCAGACCCAGCAUGGCAUGAUAGGAAGAGCCCUGGAUGAGACUUCAGUCCCAGGAAUGGGGUCCAAUUCUUGGCUUGGCUACUAACUCAUGACCUUGAGCAACUUCUUUUUUCCCCUUUCUGGGCCUCAGUUUCCUUAUCUGAAAAUAAGAAUAUUGUACAUGCUGACUUAUACAAUACAUAAAUUCCCCAAGCCUCAGUUUCCCCAUUUGUAAAAGGAAGAAUGUGGACUCGUUGACCUCUGAGGUCCCUUCCAGCUCAGACUCUUCGGUUCUCUGAGCCUCUGGAUUGCACAUUUCCAGUGGAUUCUUGCCAGGUACACCAUUCCUCCCAAUCCCCGGCAUAGCCUGGAGCCCAGACUGAAAUCCCCCCCACCUGUGGAUUUACCUUUCAGGUACCUGCAAACACCUCCCUGAAAUAGUCACAUCAAAAGAGCAAGAUUGUUGAGGUUGCCUUCUUUCUUUUUUCUCCCCAAGGGGGGGAUUUCUGCAGGGCUCUGAAGCCCUCCCCUGCCUGGUAAUUCAUGGGGGCCUCAGCUAUUUCUUGUGGUUGGCGGGGGCGGGAAUAACUUUCAUUUAAUAUUAACUGAGCUCCUUUGCCUCACUUCCCCCCUUUUCUCUUUGUCUCGCUUUUAAUAAACAGCCGAUUGAGCAAGUUAAGGUCUGUUGG